rnacentral:lncRNA from 1 species
GCAAGAGUGAAAGUUCCAAUCCUCUAAAGUCAUAGUUGUUACCUUGGUAACCAGCCCCCAUCCUGAGGUAAUCUAGGCGCUCCCAGCUACCAGUCAUCUCAUUAGGACACAAAAAAUACUUUUUUUUUUCUGACAUAGGAUACUGUGUCACCCAAGCUGGAGCACAAUGGCAUGAUCAUGGCUCACUGCAGCCUCUACCUCCUACACUCAAGUGAUCCUCCUGCCUCAGCCUCCUGAGUAGCUGGGACUUCAAGCAAGCAGCCACCACAUCUGGCUAACAAAAGAUACUCUUAUCUCUUGGGAAUUCUAAGGAUUUUGGAUGCUUAAGUGAGGAAAUGGGGAAUAAGACCAAAUAUGCGUUUCGUUAUAAAACACAAGGAAACAUGGGGAAGUGAUAGAAGUCUGAAAUCAAACUAGCUGGGAAACUACAUUUAUCGUUGGACUGAGUAUAUGUCUGGCCCCCGGGUAAAUUGCUCUGUGAUUCUUAACCUAAAUGGCAAUUAAACAAUCCUCUGGAUCCUGGAUCUUACUGAAUAUUCACUACUAAAGAGAUGACAAAAUUUCACUGAAGUGGGGAAUUAAAUGAAGACAAGGAUGCCAUGUUGAAUGAUUCUUUGCUUAAAUUGGAUUUGUGCCCAAAGCAGCAGGAGAUGCUGUCCCAAAAGCCGGAACAUUUUAUAAGUACUGGCAAUGAAGGUUUAUUACUUCAUUCCAAAAACAGCACAGAGAGCCCACUAAGGAGGUCCAGGGGAGAAGGGGAGCCACCGAACUGCACAUCGGGGAGAAGUGCUGACCUCCAGGCUGCGGAGUCAGGCAGGCUGCCUUACUUUUGUGGCUUCGUGCCUCGGGUGGUGAUGAGCAUAAAGGCCAGUGGGAAUUUGGAUGUUGCAACUGGUGAUAAAAAAGCAACUAGUUAG